rnacentral:misc_RNA from 1 species
AUAGAGUUUCGAUACUGACAGUGAAUAUCGGAACGCAGCCGAAUUGUUCGGUUGGGCGUGUUUCUCUGGCACUGAUUAAGACUAUUUCAUCUAAGUUACGAACACGAGAAAAAACGAAACACAGUGAAAGAAGAAAGGCUAAAAUACACACUGAAUUAUAUUAAAAGCCUUUAAUGGCAACUAUGAUCGGAAUUGACCGAAAAAAAUAGACAGUGUUUAUAUAUACAUUUUUCGGGAGCAGCUAUUAAAUUCUCCAAACAAUGAUCAUUAUCUGCUGGUUAUAUUGCCUAUUAGGCAUUGUAGUUGGUCAGUAUGAAUGGCAAACUCGUGAUUCUUUUGAUGAAAUCCGCAUGCGGAUGGAUAAAGUGAACGAAGAUAAUUGUCCAAUACAGCAUCUUGGCGAUCUAUAUUUGCCAGAUGAUACAAUAUCGCAUUUACCUGAUAUAAAAGACAUCAAUAUCAAUCCAGUAUUUCCAAAUCGUACAGCUUUGCUACAUCUUCACAACAUGGCACUCAGCAGGAGUUUUUUUUGGAGUUAUAUUUUGCAGUCACGCUUUAUUCGACCGGCAAUCAAUGAUACUUAUGAUCCAGGCAUGAUGUAUUACUUCCUCUCUACAGUUGCAGACGUUUCUGCCAAUCCAUAUAUCAAUGCCUCAGCUAUCUAUUUCUCACCCAAUAUGUCUUAUUCACCAUCCUACAGAGGUUUCUUCAAUAAAACUUUUCCUAGAUUUGCACCACGGACUUUUAGAGCAGAUGACUUCAAUGAUCCUAUACAUCUGGAGAGAAUAUCCACAAGAAAUACCUUCACUAUACAAGAUUUAGGAGCGUUUCCUGUUACUAGACUUAGUGAUGAUUAUACUACUGAUUUUUAUCGUAUAAAUGAAUGGUACAAAAGAUGGUUACCAGAUAAUGUAGAGAAAAGACAUGACACUAAAACAACAUAUCAAGUUGAAAUUCGUUAUGCCAACAAUACCAAUGAAACAUAUACUUUUCAUGGUCCACCUGGUGCUGAUGAAUAUCCUGGACCAGUGAAAUGGACUAGACCAUAUUUUGAUUGUGGUCGAUCAAAUCGGUGGCUUGUAGCUGCAAUAUCACCUGUAGCGGAUAUUUAUCCACGGCACACUGGUUUCAGGCAUAUUGAAUAUCCAACAUAUACUGCUGUUUCAGUGAUGGAAAUGGACUUUGACAGAAUAGAUAUAAAUCAAUGCCCCAAAGGGCGUGGGAAUGAUGGUCCCAAUAAAUUUGCUAAUACUGCAAGAUGCAAGACUGAUACUACAGAGUGCGAACCAAUACAUGGUUGGGGUUUCAGAAGAGGCGGGUAUCAAUGUAGAUGUAAACCGGGUUAUAGAUUACCGACUGUUGUACGACGACCUUAUCUCGGUGAAAUACUAGAGAGAGCUACUCAAGAACAAUAUUAUAAUGGUUUUGAUUGCCAACGAAUUGGCUGGAUUCAUAAAAUGCCAGUACAAUGGGAGAAGGCAAAACCAUAUAUCAGAAAAAAAUAUCUCGAGCAGUAUCAUCAUUAUAAGAAUUAUUCGACUGGUCCAGAUGCGCUUCAUGAUAUAAGGAUGAACAUAGACCAAGCUCUCAAAUUUGUUUUGGGUAUGAAUUCGCACACUUGCAAAAAUUAUACAUCAGAAGAAUUAAUGUUACGCGGAGACAUUAGCUUUGGCGCAGAAGAAUUCUUCGAAAACGAAGCGAAAAUGGCAACCAGAUUGGCAAAUUUUAUCAGCGCGUUCCUACAAGUAUCAGAUCCUUUAGAAGUUUACUCGGGUAAAAGAGUAGCCGACAGACCACUCACAGAAGACCAAAUGAUGGGAGAAACACUAGCUCUAGUACUUGGUGAUACAAAAAUAUGGUCAGCUGGCACAUUUUGGGAUCGUAAUAAAUUUACUAACAGAACAUUCUUUGCCCCGUUCGCUUACAAAAAACAAUUAAAUACGCGCAAAUUUAAACUUGAUGAUUUGGCUAGACUAAGUGACACAGAUGAAGUAUACACAAAAAAAAGUUACUUUAAAGCUUUAAAACAACGUUGGGCGACGAAUUUUGAUCAAUUGGAAAAGUACUAUAUGAAGAUAAAAAUUCGAUUUAAUGAAACUGGAGAAUAUUUAAAAAAGUUCGAACAUUAUCCAAAUUAUUACAGGGCAGCAAACCUGGACCAUGGACAUUGGACAACUCCAUAUUUCGAUUGUAAGGGUGAGAUACAAAAAUGGUUAAUUACCUAUGCAUCCCCAUUUUUCGGCUGGGAUAGCUUAAAAGAGAAACUAGAAUUUAAUUGCAGGUCAGUUGACGUCAACUAAUGCCCAAUAGCGAUUAUAGCCGUUAGUGACUUGCAUCACUUUCUCCAGACGUUUCGCUACCACGGCGCUCGUAAUAUCAUUAGCAAAGCCAACCGCCAUUAUACUUUCCGGUAAAUAGAGUUUUGAUACACCAUCGUACAUAAUGUUCUAUAAUAAUAGGUCUAGCAUUGAAUCCUGUGGCACUCCACAGGUUAUCUCAUAGCUCUUCAUGCCAUUAUUCGUACAAUACAUCAAUACUUUGUUUUUGAAGUAAUCAGAGAUGAUUCCCCUGACGUACAAUGAUAUGUCGAAGCAUUCCAACGCCUCAAAUAUGUAGCUCCAUCUCGUCGAGUUGAAAGCAUUUUUUACGUCCAAAGUCAUCACAGCGCAGUACUUUUUGGCUUCUCUCUCUCAUUAUUUGCCUUCAAAUGCCUUACAAGUUGUGUCGAUGACAAGAAUUAUCUGCAUCUGGAUCUCUUUAUUGAGGUAUUUAUGUUUGCGGGAGGGCGUUUAUCCUAGACAAUAAAGAGGCAAUGUCUGAUUCUGUCUAAGAAUAGUAGACCACAAGUAAUCGCGUCAUCCUAUCGACUGAUCUUGCUGGACACGGCUGGGAAGCUUCUCGAGAGCAUCAUCAGCAACAGACUGCAAGAGUGCAUUAGUGGAAGGGGUGACCUGGCUAAAAACUAGUUUGGCUUUCGAAAGGCCCGCUCAACGAUGAACACCGUUGUCCUUGAUUUCUACCUGUACUUUGUUAGUCAGCAUUCUUAUUUUAGCCAUUUGUCUCAAGAUAUUUUCCACAGAUGACUUUAAUUUUGAUAUUAGUUCAGAUACAUGUGCGAUUCAAUUGCAAUAGUAGAUUCAAUGUAGAUCACAAUGUUUCUCCGGACUUUGAAAAUAUUUGAUCCAAGCUCCUCUAGUGAUGUCUCAGCUUUUAUUCUCCUUAGGAUAUCUACAUAAGACUGCUUAGCUUUAAUAAUUAAGGCGAUUUGAGACGCGAUUUCCUUCGCUUCAUUUACUUUUCCAUCACCUGCCCUUUCUACUGCUCCUGCGGCCUUUUCGAUAUCGCGGGCUCUUGAGGCGUUACUGACAAGAAUGGAGAUUCUGUCCUUACCUUGGGCUCUUUCCCUUUUCUUUUUUAGCACUAGAUGGUGGAAUCCGAAUUUUCUUCUUCGGAGUAAGAGUAUUCUUCAUUUCCGAGUCUACUCUCAGCCUUAGUUUUGAGUUUCGCAGAUACCUGCGGUAUCUUCCACCUUGAAAAACACUUUAUAACAGAUGCUAAUAGCACUUACGAGCCGCUUAAUCUCGCUGUGUACGUUGCUAUGAGGUUUAAUUCCAGGAGCUCAGAUAUCUUCUUUCUAAGCUUUUCUAGCGUCUCUUUGCUGUUUCUUGUGUGUUAUAAUAUUAGCUGUUGCAGCGACUAAACUCACUAUCACCGGUACCGCACAGCAAUCGUCAGAUAACAACGCCCUAGAACCUGCUUACUCACUUCUUAAUAAACGCUCAUAAAAUAAUGAGGAUUCGACUUCCUGCACCAUAAAAUUUUUCCUCGCUAGGCUACUCUCCAUGUUUGGUUUAUAGUCGGAGUAUCCUACUGUCCGCUGCAGACGGUUGCUUAUUCCUUGAAUUCCUAACUUAUUUCACAGCAAUCUCUUAUCGCAACGAAUCGAGAUUUCCCCCAUCCGCACUCGGUAGCCAGGAAAAAUGCGUGCAUGCAGGUGUUGUAGCAGUUACCAUGAAUAUGCUUCAAGUAGAUAUAAAUCAAUG